UGAGGGCUAGUGUUUCCUCUGGCAUGAAAACUCUCCAUUUGGAUCCUCUCAGUAACGAUGGAGAUAUCUGACCGAUAAGCAGAGUAAGCCGUCUCAUGUGGAAGAAAGAAAGAAAGAAACUGAACUAUGCAAAUUCAUCAGCUGAUUUGAAUUGACUUCAAGAGUUCACUGCAUAUUAAACAAUUAACAAUUCUCCUUUGCUAUAUUCAAAUAAAUAUCUCCUAAAAAGG